rnacentral:rRNA from 1 species
UACGUAGGGUGCGAGCGUGUCCGGAAUUAUUGGGCGUAAAGAGCUCGUAGGCGGUUUGUCGCGUCUGCUGUGAAAACCCGAGGCUCAACCUCGGGCCUGCAGUGGGUACGGGCAGACUAGAGUGCGGUAGGGGAGAUUGGAAUUCCUGGUGUAGCGGUGGAAUGCGUAGAUAUCUGGAGGAACACCGGUGGCGAAGGCGGCAUCCUGGACCGACACUGACGUGAG